UAUAUACUCCCUCCGUUCCAAAAUAGAUGACUCAACUUUGUACUAACUUUAGUAUAAUAUUAGUACAAAGUUGAGUCAUCUAUUUUGGAACGGAGGGAGUAAUAG
rfam:Triticum aestivum genome assembly, contig: Triticum_aestivum_CS42_TGACv1_scaffold_543959_6DS